ensembl:processed_transcript
ACGUAUAUAUCUAUGGACGCUAACUAGUAUUCACGUAUCAUGCUCAACUCUUAAUAUUCUUUUACGCACUUUGAGAGUGUUUGCGUUAUUUCAGAGAGAUAUUUAAGCACAUAUGAAGUAACAGUGCCGUCUGUGUACUAGUUACACAAUGCAGCAUUUAGCUCGCUCGUAAACAUCGCUGCUGUCCUCAGAUCAUUGUCUGAGCAGAAGUUUCAUCAUAAGCCAUGACUGUCAGAUGCUCUUCAUCUCAGGAGCUGUAUUUUUAUAUGCUUGAUAACAGAUAUAAGCGAAAAGAGGCUGAAUCCAAAGCCCGAGAAGAAGCAGAGAAACAGAGGAUCGAACGAGAGAAACACUUCCAGAAGGAGGAGCUGGAACGCUUGGAAAGAAAGAAGCGUCUGGAAGAAAUCAUGAAGAGGACUCGUAAGAGUGACGCAGGAGCACAGGUGAGAUGUUAAUACAGAAAAAUCUGUCAGAAGCUCUUCAUACUGGUGCGACAAACCAAUCACCAAUGAGCUCUGUGUCCUGGGACGCAGCACCGGUCAUUAACGGAGCUCUGCCCACUAAGCAUCAGAAUGGACUGUCCUCCAAUGGAGACGCUGCAGACUUUGAGGAGAUAAUCAAGCUGUCCAAUCACAGUGGGAACAGUGGGCAGAGUCAACCGGCUGACGACCCAAUCAUGGCCUUCGAGGGAGGAGAACCGUUCAUGAUGAAGGCGAGGCCUAUGAAACCUCAACAUGUGGCAGAGGUGCUGUGAGAGAUGAGAUAUCAGAGUCUUCUGGAUAUGAAGAGAAGAAGAGAAGCCUUACUCUACCACCGCUUCCACCCUGAUGUGUGCCAAACCAACAAAAACAGACUGCUUUAACUUUAGAAACACAGCCGAGCCGGACGCGCUCAGGAGAAAGUGCCAGAAGACGACCUUAAAGAGACACUUAUAUACAUAUACAACGUUUGCAAAAAGUCUCUGUCUAUUUCAGUGUGUGUGUCAUGGUGCAACAUUUGUUGAGUUUCUUUAACAAGUCACCUGCCGAUCAUGUGGUGCACCUUAAAAGAGUCGCUAUAUAUUGAAUUUUAGAAAAGACAACUUGGCUUAUCUUUAUGAUAUGAAUUAUUGUUGUUUUUGUUGCUCUUGUUAUGAUGUAUUGUUAUCGUUCUUUUAAGUAGAGAAAAAAAGCAAACGAGUGUCUUGAACUAUUGCGUUAUUUAACGUGUGGCGCAUCAGAAGAGGCCGAUAUUUUGUAUGUUAAUGUAUAUUUGCCUGAUUAUGACAGACCUGUGGAAUAAAUCUUUAUGAAAGGG